GGCACGGACAGGCUCCCCAGGAGAAGCGAUUUACUUGACCAAUGUCACAAUGCUGGGGGUAGGGGUACAGAGAAGAACCUGAAAUGAGGGUUGGAGAAAAAUUAACAAGUCUGUCGGUGGAAAUGUCGUUCCUACUAAGGAUAACCGGGCAAGCAGUUCUUAUAUCAUCAUCCACCGUGUGUUUCGGGGUCUGGCAUCAGAACCUGGGGAGAAGAUCACCACAAGUCACUGGUAACAUUACCAACCCCCAUGUGAAGAGACAGAGGAACCGAGGCCAGAGAAGUUAACUAACCCAUCCAAAGGCACACAGCAAACAGAAAACAGCACUGGCAGAUUUCAAAGCAGAGACCGCUGGCGACAUUAGCUCCCGUGUAACACACACCGUAGCCCAGAGCAGUGGUUCUCAGUCCCCGCUCCACACUGAAACCACCGGGUGGUUCAAAAUCCUUACACCUUGGUCCCAUCCCCGGCACCUCCGAUGUAACCAGCCUAGGGUGGGGC